rnacentral:rRNA from 1 species
GAUGAACGCUGGCGGCGUGCCUAAUACAUGCAAGUCGAGCGAACAGACGAGGAGCUUGCUCCUCUGACGUUAGCGGCGGACGGGUGAGUAACACGUGGAUAACCUACCUAUAAGACUGGGAUAACUUCGGGAAACCGGAGCUAAUACCGGAUAAUAUAUUGAACCGCAUGGUUCAAUAGUGAAAGACGGUUUUGCUGUCACUUAUAGAUGGAUCCGCGCCGCAUUAGCUAGUUGGUAAGGUAACGGCUUACCAAGGCAACGAUGCGUAGCCGACCUGAGAGGGUGAUCGGCCACACUGGAACUGAGACACGGUCCAGACUCCUACGGGAGGCAGCAGUAGGGAAUCUUCCGCAAUGGGCGAAAGCCUGACGGAGCAACGCCGCGUGAGUGAUGAAGGUCUUCGGAUCGUAAAACGCUGUUAUUAGGGAAGAACAAAUGUGUAAGUAACUAUGCACGUCUUGACGGUACCGAAUCAGAAAGCCACGGCGAACUACGU